rnacentral:rRNA from 1 species
UCAUCUUGGCAGGGUGCAAUGUGGUGUUCGGGAGGGUCCAUUCGCGCCUUGAGCUCUGGUGUCCAAGUCCCCCUGACCGGGGCCAUCGCCCAUUGAGGGUGCAAGGCCCUGUUGGGCAGGGCUGUGUCUCCGAUCUCGGCGCGUUGGGUCCCUUCCUUGGAGUCGGGUUGCUUGAGAGUGCAGCCCAAAGUGGGUGGUAAACUCCACCUAAGGCUAAAUACUUUCCACGAGACCGAUAGCAAACAAGUACCGUGAGGGAAAGUUGCAAAGAACUUUGAAGAGAGAGUUCACGAGUGCAUGAAACCGUUCUGAGGUAAACGGGUGGGAGCUCAAAUGUCCAAAGGACGGGGAGGGAUUCAACUUGGAGUGGCUGCUGGCCUAGCCGGUUCUCGUCUGGGCAUUCUGGCCUCCCUUCUCAGGGAGUGCCGGCCGUCCCGCGUUCUGCUCCAGCCGUAAUCCGCCGUGCCUUGUGCAUUUCCCUAUUCCCCCUCUACUACUAGGACGCCGCGACAAACUGUCGAGGGGAGCCCAGGAGCUGGUUGGAGCAGUUGCACUUACUAGCAAGGGAUUCCUUCUCUGCGUCCCGUCUGUCUGUCUCCUUCCACCCGCGGGUCGCUCCCUCCAGCGGUAGGAACUGUUCCAGCUGGCCCCUUGUGGUCCCUAGUCCAUGUGGGUGCCCACGAUCUGUCAGCACGGAAAGAAAGAUCCCAACGGGUGGCGCCGGGUGGCCGCGCGCCAAUCUUCUUGCUACGCGUGCGGACUCCCGUGUGUCAGCCGCCUUCGGUCAGGGUGCGGACUCCUGCAGUAGGGGCGCUAGGCGCAUCGGCGGCGAGUAGGUAGGUUUCCCACCCGACCCGUCUUGAAACACGGACCAAGAAGUCUAACGUGUGGGCGAGUAUUCGGGGACUUUUUGAACCUUUGGAAGGCGAUAAUAAAAGCAGAAGGCAGGGUAGUCCCGCUCUCCCUCCCCUACGGGGUGCGGAUGAGCGCGGGCGGCCCGCCCGAGUGGGAUCCCCCGUCUGAUGGCGGGGGCGCAC